GGUUUUGUUAAGUCAGAUGUGAAAGCCCGGGGCUCAACCUCGGAAUUGCAUUUGAAACUGGCAGACUAGAGUACUGUAGAGGGGGUAGAAUUUCAGGUGUAGCGGUGAAAAUGCGUAGAGAUCUGAAGGAAUACCGGUGGCGAAGGCGGCCCCCUGGACAGAUACUGACACUCAGAUGCGAAAGCGUGGGGAGCAAACAGGAUUAGAUACCCUGGUAG
rnacentral:rRNA from 1 species